CCGGUGAAAGAAAAAAAAAUCCUCCCCAACGCUCACACCCCACCCCCAUUACCCUCCUGCCAGCGACGCCGCCCCCGUUCCCCUCGGACGCCAUGGCGGCCGCAGCCUCCUGGUCCUCCUCUGCACGCAUCAUCGCCUGCAACACCGCUAACCACGGUCUUCACUGGCGUCGUGAUGGCCGCGACCUCCACCCAGAGCCAUCCGCCGUUGGGCCCUUAUACCCCCUCCCGAAGGGAUCCACCACGGACAAGGGAACGGCCGCUCUUGGGCGUCGGGAUGUGGUCGUCGCGUGGCGCGGCAUGAUAGGCUCUGGAGUUGGUCGAUGACCCGGAGUUCGCCAUUGUACCGCCCAGAGGCCUCCUCGGCAAGGCCGCCUGAGCCUGCGCAGACGCUUGGUGGACCGCGGCUGAAUCUCCAUCUACACCUUCACCCCGGCAUCCACCAACAACAAGGACAACGCCAGAAACUGAUUUUCAGAAUACCGAGGGAAAUAUUGCGUUGGAAGGAUCCCGGGUUGGCGGGGGCGGCCAGACCAGGUGGCAAAUGCGAUGCACAAGUUGAGGAGCGAAGGUAAAGAGGAGAGGCCACGACAACCCGAGCAGCAGCGAGGGGAUGGAUCAGCGGCCGGGCAGCUGCGUCGACCCGAGCAGUUGCGAGAGCGAAUGAAGCUGCAGCUGCACGGACAAGCUUGUGGAGAUGUUAGUAUGCACGCAUGCGUCCAUGAUUUGGAGCACGCCUCUGGCCUGGUAGGAUUCUCGCUCUGCCCCGACCUCAAGGGCGUUCGUCUAUCUGUGUUGUGCUCGGGGCGAUGCACUAAUGCAGGUGUGGUUCUUCAGCUUUUCUUUGUCUUUUUCUUGGUAUGUAUAUCUCUGAAUCUUGUGAGCCGUGAUUUUCAUGCUGCCAUGUAUGCCAUUGUGUCCUGUAUAAUGAUUCUUCUUAUUAUUUUUGAAUGGCAUAAUUAUUCUUAUUGAGGCACUGCCGCUGCCUAAUUUGCUUAUAGAAAUAACAUACUAAUUAAUACAGGGAGAGAGUACGACUUUUAAAACAAUCUGCAGUACCCGUGAGCCUGCUCAUAGGUAGAUAUCGAUACAUUUUGUAGCUUCCAUUCUUGUUUUCUCUCAUUGAAAUUAUGGAUUUGGAAACUAACCAUGGAGUGUCUAGAUUGCCUGCUAUAUUACCAAGUGCGCUGAAGGAAAAGCUGCUGCCACUGUGGAUGACCACUUUAGGUGAUAUAAUUCAUGUUUGCUUUGUUGUUUCAGUAACUUCCUGUAGCAUAUUGGUUCCAUCUUUUUUUUUUUGCAUCAUGGUACAUUAUUCUCAUCUUGAUAUAUAUCAUUUGGUCAACUGAAGAUUUGAGUGCAGGGUAGAAUUCUUGGUUGAUUUAAGAAUUUCGUUGUUGAUUAGUUGGCCAACAGACUUUUAUGAAAUUCAAGGAGUCAUUUAGUGUACUAUAUGUCAUAUUUGUCUUAUUUCUAUACUCACAAUAUUUCCGCAUCAUCUGAACAAAUGAUGCUAAAUUGAUAUAAUCAUUUUGGAUCAGUGUCAUCUUCUCAAUGCUGAACAGCCAAAAUAUAUACAUAGUGAGCAGUCCGCCGCACAUGCUCAUACGUCAUAUUUAUGUACUGUUUAACACGGCAAAAAUUGGUCAAACAUUUAAAUAUUUCUACUGUUUAACACAGCCAAAGUAUAUACAUAAUGAUCAGUCCUCCGCUGCACGUUAGAUCCAGCCUCCCUCCCUUGACACCAUUCUUCUUACUUAUUAUUAUUUCUUUUAAAAAUAUCUUUAGUUUUAUUUUCUAGAUACUUCAAUUCAUUCGUAUAUGGACUUCCAUCGCACUACGAGGAUGAUCCAUGGCUGGUCGCGGACGAUCACCUGCGAGGACGAUUCAUGGCCGGUUGGGGAUGGUCAGUUCCAUCACACUGCGAGGAGAUGAUUCAUGGCCGGUCGGGGAUGGUCACCUACGGUGAGCACGAGUACCUCCUCCAUAUCCUCCCUAUACUAGCACCCUUGGCGAUGAAAAUGACAACCAGGAGAAUCCCUCCUUCACACCUCUUUUCCAUCUCUGUCAGAUUGUCCUCUCCAGCAAGGUGUCUAUGCAUGAAUCAUAUUUAAACAUCGAUGAAAGUUUUAACUUCCUGCAAAUUUUGGUGAUGAAAUAACAUUGGUGGACGUCUGGACAAAAAGAAAAAAACGAUGCUCCAAAAUGCUUCCGAGAACGAAUCUUCUGGAGCGUCGAAUUUUUUUUGCCCAGACCUACACGAAUGUCAUUUCAUCAAAAACAUUUGCAAGAAGUUAAAACUUUCAUAGAUGUUUAUAAAAAAUCAGAUUUUUUUUAUUUUUUAUGUGUUUUUGGAUUUUACUGUUCAUCAAGGAGCAUGUGAGCUCGGGUUCAAAUACUCCACGUCCUCAUAUUUAUUCCUAUUCUCCUUUUGUCAUUUUUUACAUCUAGGCAUAUAGUGUUUUGCUGUGUCUCAAAGUUUUACCUUUUUAAAAGUGAUAUGUGUUUAUAUUUUGUGGAUGUUUUUGUUGCUGGUAUAUAUUCUCAAGUGAUAAUCAUCAUAUCUUGUCAAUCUCUAUGUUAUGAGAGGUAUAAAAAUAUAAUCGGAUCUAAAUUUGAUAGUAUGCUACCUUGGCCAAUAUACUGCAUCAUGUGAAUGUUUCUCGUUCCCAAAAGUGCACUAUAUCUGGCCUCUCUGGCCACGAAGGCUGCAAGGUUGCACCUUGGAGCUCAAAAUUUGGUGUCUUCGCAUUGAAGGAUCCAAUCCAUCGACUUUGGAGUUUGAACAUGUCACUUGUGAUGGGGAGAGGAAGAGAUGACUUGCAUACACUGGACAAUGAGUGUGUUAGCAGCGUGGUGGCUCAGGACUGUACAAGUUGUAGUAGCCCCUUCCCUUAUAAAUGUUUUGUUUUGAUUGGAAGCACCUUAUAAUUUAGCUAAUAUAUGGAUUUCAUUUACAUCGUCUGUCCAAGUAUGCGAGGCCCAUGAGAUGGGCAUUAAUCACUUCUCUUUUGUCUCAGUAUUUUGAUAGGGGACCUAUGUAUAUGGAAGGAGUUAGUAUCAUGUAAAUCGUAUCACCAAUUUAAGGAUC